AAUCACCAUGUUUCAGUUUAAUACUUCAAUUCAGUGAUGUCACCAGAAUAGGUAAACUUUGAUCUCAAAGUUUUAAAUUAUGUUGAAUUGGUAUUCGUCAUGUGAUGUUUUUUCUCAAGAAUAUGCAAUAAUUUCCCCCAUAUCAGGUAUAUAAGGAUUUCAAGUUAUCUGUAAGCGUCACUUGAACUUGCUGAUUUAAAAUGUCUCGAAUUGUAAGCAUUCUGUUGCUCGGAUUGAUGUGCACAUGCGCCUUUGCGCGCUAUCCACCAACGAAACCCGGCGCAUGCCCACCCCCGAGUCAGGGAAACCCGUUCACCAUCUGUCUGGCCCGCUGUUCUUCAGAUUACAAUUGUCCAGGCGACCAAAAAUGCUGUAGCUUUGGCUGUCUGAGAGACUGCAGUCCUCCAGUUUACAGGCGUUAUUGAAACAGACGAUGAAAUGAAGAAUUGAUUUCCUGACAUUUACUGCACAGAGAAGGUCAAAGUUAGAUUUCUCAUUGUAAACAUGCAAUUUUCCUAGUUGCACUGAUUACUGUGAAAUAUAAAAAGAAAUAAAAUAUUACAUAGUUGA